rnacentral:rRNA from 1 species
UACGUAGGGUCCGAGCGUUGUCCGGAAUUACUGGGCGUAAAGAGCUCGUAGGUGGUUUGUCGCGUUGUUCGUGAAAACUCACAGCUCAACUGUGGGCGUGCGGGCGAUACGGGCAGACUUGAGUACUGCAGGGGAGACUGGAAUUCCUGGUGUAGCGGUGGAAUGCGCAGAUAUCAGGAGGAACACCGGUGGCGAAGGCGGGUCUCUGGGAUAUUGCUGACGCUGAGGCACGAAAGCCAGGGGAGCGAACGGG